rnacentral:ncRNA from 1 species
AUAGGUGUCUAGCGAUGGACUUAAUAUGGAACCAAGUGAAAGUCUUGGACUGUGCCAGCAACUGUAAUAUGGACGAAAUCAAAUUGUCAUUGGGAAACUGAGAAGACAGAAAGUAGGAAGAAGUAGAGCCAGGAGACUUGCCUAUACAAGA